rnacentral:rRNA from 1 species
AUUGAACGCUGGCGGCAUGCCUAACACAUGCAAGUCGAACGCGAAAGGGUUUCGGCCUGAGUAGAGUGGCGGACGGGUGAGUAAUGCGUGGGAAUCUGCCUGUUAGUGGGGGACAACCCGGGGAAACUCGGGCUAAUACCGCAUACGACCUACGGGGGAAAGGGGCCGCAAGGCUCUCGCUGACAGAUGAGCCCACGUCCGAUUAGCUAGUUGGCAGGGUAAAGGCCUACCAAGGCGACGAUCGGUAGCUGGUCUGAGAGGAUGACCAGCCACACUGGGACUGAGACACGGCCCAGACUCCUACGGGUGGCUG